CCUACGGCGGUCAGCAGUGAGGAAUAUUGGUCAAUGGGCGCGAGCCUGAACCAGCCAAGUAGCGUGAAGGAUGACUGCCCUACGGGUUGUAAACUUCUUUUAUAAAGGAAUAAAGUGAGGCACGUGUGCCUUUUUGUAUGUACUUUAUGAAUAAGGAUCGGCUAACUCCGUGCCAGAAGCCCCGGUAAUACGGAGGAUCCGAGCGUUAUACGGAUUUAUUGGGUUUAAAGGGGGCGUAGAUGGGUUGUUAAGUCAGUUGUGAAAGUUUGCGGCUCAACCGUAAAAUUGCAAUUGAUACUGGCAGCCUUGAGUACAGUUGAGGUAGGCGGAAUUCGUGGUGUAGCGGUGAAAUGCGUAGAUAUCACGAAGAACUCCGAUUGCGAAGGCAGCCUACUAAACUGUCACUGACAUUGAUGCUCGAAAGUGUGGGUAUCAAACAGGAUUAGAUACCCUGGUAGUC
rnacentral:rRNA from 1 species